rnacentral:lncRNA from 1 species
ACAUUAUUGUUACUGUUUUUAUCUGUAAUUUUCUUUCUUCUUCCUUUAUCCUAGCAAUGAUUGAGAGAAUCUAAGUUGAAACAGAUAAUUGAGAAAUAUGCCUAAUGAAAUGGAUAAAGUGAUGUUCUCUAUUUCUCUCUGGCCUCCAGAAAUGUGUCCUGAGAAUGGAUCUUGUGUACCUGAUGGUCCAGGUCUUUUGCAGUGUGUUUGUGCUGAUGGUUUCCAUGGAUACAAGUGUAUGCGCCAGGGCUCGUUCUCACUGCUUAUGUUCUUCGGGAUUCUGGGAGCCACCACUCUAUCCGUCUCCAUUCUGCUUUGGGCGACCCAGCGCCGAAAAGCCAAGACUUCAUGAACUACAUAGGUCUUACCAUUGACCUAAGAUCAAUCUGAACUAUCUUAGCCCAGUCAGGGAGCUCUGCUUCCUAGAAAGGCAUCUUUCGCCAGUGGAUUCGCCUCAAGGUUGAGGCCGCCAUUGGAAGAUGAAAAAUUGCACUCCCUUGGUGUAGACAAAUACCAGUUCCCAUUGGUGUUGUUGCCUAUAAUAAACACUUUUUUCUUUUU